rnacentral:rRNA from 1 species
UACAGAGGGGGCAAGCGUUGUUCGGAAUUACUGGGCGUAAAGGGCGCGUAGGCGGCCUGUUAAGUCGAACGUGAAAUCCCCGGGCUCAACCCGGGAACUGCGUCCGAUACUGGCAGGCUUGAAUCCGGGAGAGGGAUGCGGAAUUCCAGGUGUAGCGGUGAAAUGCGUAGAUAUCUGGAGGAACACCGGUGGCGAAGGCGGCUCGCUGGGCAGUGGCUGACGCUGAGGCGCGACAGCGUGGGGAGCAAACAGG